rnacentral:rRNA from 1 species
AGCUGAUCAUUGGGUGUAAAGGGUGCGCAAGCGGUUUUGUAAGACAGAGGUGAAAUCCCCGGGCUCAACCUGGGAACUGCCUUUGUGACUGCAAGGCUGGAGUGCGGCAGAGGGGGAUGGAAUUCCGCGUGUAGCAGUGAAAUGCGUAGAUAUGCGGAGGAACACCGAUGGCGAAGGCAAUCCCCUGGGCCUGCACUGACGCUCAUGCACGAAAGCGUGGGGAGCAAACA